CCUACGGGAGGCAGCAGUGAGGAAUAUUGGUCAAUGGACGGAAGUCUGAACCAGCCACGCCGCGUGCAUGAAGACGGCUCUAUGAUCUGUAAACUGCUUUUGUACAAGGGUAAACCUGAAUACGUGACUUCACCUGAAAGUACUGUACGUAUAAGGAACGGCUAACCUCGGGCCAGCAGCCGCGGUAAUGUGGAGGAUCCAAGCGUUAUCCGGAUUUAUUGGGUUUAAAGGGUGCGUAGGCGGAUUGAUAAGUUAGAGGUGAAAGGUACGGGCUUAACUCGGGAACUGCCUUUGAUACUGGUGGUCUAGAGUGUAGAUGCGGUGGGCGGAAUGUAAUGUGUAGCGGUGAAAUGCUUAGAGAUCAUACAGAACACCGAUGGCGAAGGCAGCUUACCAGUCUAUAACUGACGUUGAGGCACGAAAGCGUGGGGAGCAAACAGGAUUAGAUACCCCUGUAGUC
rnacentral:rRNA from 1 species